rnacentral:misc_RNA from 1 species
AAGGAUCAUCGAAAAAAAAAGGGAAGUGGGGCGGUCGCCCGCACCCAUUCUCCCGAACAAAACCGUAUUCACCCCAAGUUCCUGAAAAUUUUUAUAAAAAACUCCUAAAAGACCAUCGGUUUUAAACGGUGGCACUAAUCUAAGCGAAAACUUUCAACAACGGAUCUCUUGGCUCUC